CUUUUAGCAGACAGGAGAGACUGGCAGCGGGAGAGACGCCGCUGCUACACGACGCUGGCUAAAGCUGUCGCUUUACAUUCCAUACGGGAGACGUAGGGAAACGCGGGUUUGAUAUAUACUGAUUUAAACUUGCUCCUACCUAACCCUGAAGGCAGUCUUCUUUUCUAAAUGAGUCUGAAAAAGACGCAGGGCUAAAGGAACCUAAACUUGGAGCUGUGCCUGGUAUUCUGUGGCCCAUAAGGAGAAACACACUUAAAGAAAGAUACUAAUUGAUAUUGGGAGACACACGCACCCCCAUACUGCGUGCAAGGACGUGGCAUUCAGUACCACCUACCACAAGGACAAUACCUCAAGGUCGACUGUGCUGUUAAAUCAA
rnacentral:lncRNA from 1 species